AAGACUAACUUGCAGGGAUCAUUUCUAGAGUUCAUCAUCAGGGAAGUUUCUCUUGAUUGUGUAGAGCCUCUGAAACCAGGAGUCGGAGCCUGAGCAUGAGGCCGGUUCUAGGCGUUACUUUUGCAACUGCCUUUUACCCCUGGUGAUCAUUCUCUUCCCUUGGAAGAGCGAGACGAGGAUGAUGCGGUCUGAGUGG
rnacentral:snoRNA from 1 species